AAACUCCACCUCAGUACUUCUCAUUCAUAGAUCUCAGAAGUUCUGAUCUUUCAUCUCUGGAAGACUCAUCUCGAAGACUCGACUCUCAUCUCUCACCUCUCGCCCCAAAUCAAUUUCUCUGCUCUUAUCUCUCAGUCUCAGACCAGAUCUUAGAUCUUUAUUCUCUCAUCUCUCACCUCUUCCCUGACCCUCGGAUCUCUCACUCUCUGCCCUAUUGCAUUUUCCCUAAGCCAAAAGCCAAAACUCCAGUCCGGCAGUCUGCUUCGCCUCCGGACGGACCUCCUCCGAUCUCCUCUGACGGUCUCUAUGUCCGAAGUUCGAGGUAUCUACUUAUAAUUUCCUCUACUGUUCGGUUGCUUUAACUUGCUUACAAAAUUAAUCCCUUCUUUCUGAAAACAAUUCAUAAAAUAAUCCCUUCAUUCUGAAAAUAAGAAAUUCAUAAAAGAUCAACCAGUUAUUAUAUACUUUUUAUGAAAAGUUAUCUUCUGUGACACCGACUAGAACUAGAAGUAUGUGGUAUAGAAACUUAAAAAUUGAUGACCUCUGUUACUAGCCUGCAAGUUGAUGACUUGUUUCUCCUGUGUUGUAGUUAUAGUCUUAUGGAAUUAUAAAAUUAUAACUGCUGUUGCGAUGCUUCACUGCUUCAGCCUUCAGUGUCUAUUGCCUACAAUUUAUGAAAUUAUGGAUUAUAUACUGAAAAUUUGAAUCAUGUUAAUUAUGUAUUGUUAAUUUUAAUCAUGUUAAUUACUAAUUUUAGAUCUGCUUGGGCUUGGCUGGCUACAUGUUGUUGACAGCUAGACAUUUGAUUCAGUUGAUUGCUUACAAACUAUUAAAUUCGGUUAUUAUCCAAAUAACCAAAUAACUAAUUCGGUUAUUCGGUUAGGAGUUCGGAUACCUAAAAUAGUUGAAUUCAGUUUUUCGGUUAUAACUAAAAAGCUAAUUGGGUUUGGGUAAUAACCGAAUGCUCACCCCUAGACUUGAUAACUAUGCAUGAAACAUAUUUGACAUAAAAUUAAUCGACACAAAUUAUUUUCUUAAAAAUUUAAGAGAAAAAGAUGUUUUUUUCUAUUCUCUCUUUAUAAGCUUUAUUUUUACUAUUUUAACUGAAUCGAAUCAACUAAAUAUUAUUUUAUAUAUUUUUUAGUCAAAUACUACAUUAUAAUUUUAACAUAUGAAAAUCACAUCAAUUUUAAAAUUUAAAGAAAAAACCAAAAUAAAACUUUUUGUGGAAACAAGAUAGUAAGAAUUUAUUUUCUAUUGUAGCAGUUAUGAGUAUGGGUGAAUGCCUGUGAGUUUAGCAAAAACUCAAAAAUAAGAAUUCCAUUACUUUCAUAG
rnacentral:lncRNA from 1 species